AUGAGGUUCAGCUGUUCUGGGAGUCUCUCAACUGUUCUGGAAUGUUCCCUUCACCCAGGCACUGCACAAAAGGAGUCUUGGGAGCACCUGAGACUGCUUUUGGUUCAGAGUGAGAGUGCAGGCAACAUGGGUGCCUUGGAGAGAGGGCAGAAGUUGUGGACUGAGAACCAAUUAAUUAUUUCCAGAGCAAAGGAGACUUCUCCUAGAGUACCUGCAAAGCUGUUUCUUCGGGAUGGGAUAAAAAUCAGCAGGAAAACCACUUACAUCACACCAUUCUUCAGCCUGCAGUGGAGACUGGAUUUAUCUUUCAUCUGCAGCACAGGAGCAGCCCCUGUUUCUCAGCGGUGCCCCGGCUGCUCCUGCUUGCGCAUUCCAGCUUUGUUCUGCAGGAGGAACUCCCCUUGACGUGGAUAUGUAUUCCACACACCAGGCGAGUGCAGAGCUGCUGAUCGCAGCCCCUGCGCUGCAGCCUGGGGAGGAGAGCAUUGCUCCACAUCCCUCCUUGCAUUUUAAUCGUCCCGAGAAAGUUGAAAUCUCCAUUUUCUGAAAUGGAGAGAGAAAAGAAAGGAAAAAAAAAAAGGGUAUCAGGUAAUGAAGUGAGGAUUAAACUAAUUCUAAUUUUUCUCUUUUGCUAUUUUGCUCUUUAGUCACACCACUCACUGUCUGUGUGGUAGAUUAAGAGUGUAAUCUGUGUAUCAGGAGUGUAAUCCCAGAUUGCAGAGAUAAAACUGGGGGAUUCAACAGACACUUUUCAUGAAUAACUGGGACAUACAAAGAUCAUGACAUGUGCCCAGACUUAUAAGGAACAGGAUUGAAAUGUCUUGCAAUGUCUCCUGCUUCUUGAUUUUUGGGGAAAAUCUUCCUAAUAUAUAGUCAAAACUGGAAAAAAAACAUGAAACAAUAUUCUUCAUUAAGACCUUGCUCCAUCUCAGACAAGCUCCUUACUUAUUGUAAGGUAGUAAUAGAUUACCUCAAAUAUUACAUCUUGAAAAGAUGUUAAAAAUAGGUUGUGGCUGAAUAGCUAUUAUGUACUUUGAUAAAUGUGUGUCCUUAGAAGCAACACAAGUUUCUCAGGUGUGUGCCUGUGUUGUGUCUCUGAGUCAUAAGACUUUUUCCACAUAUGCAGAAAUCUCACUGCAUUUCCUCAGAUCCUGGACAGCCAAGCUCCUUUACUCCUUGGCAUUCCCUUCAAAAACCUACCUCUCUUACUACACAAAAGGAUAUUACAUGCAUUGUCCCCCUGCCCAUGUCACUCCCCAGUUCAUUAUAUGAAAGAUGUUAAGAUUUUUGUGUCUCCCAGUUGAGAUGUUGAGAGCCACCACACAAGUGAUUCUGCUCUUGUGGAUGAUUUCUAGUGGGAACUCCACUGAGAUGUGAAUUGCAGAGCUGACUUUUGUGGUCUUUUCUGUGUGCCCAGUUCUGUAAAUUAGAGUAAGACUUGAGUAUGCUCCAGCUGGAAGGACAACAUGUUUAGGAGAGGACAUUAUUAGAAGAAAUCCUACCUCUUCCCCCACUCCCCCAGCAAACAUCAAGCCUGAAACCAACCCAGCCCUACUGCUCUGUGAAGAAUUUGUCACAGUUCAGCACAAUGAGCAAGCCCAGCUCAAGAAAAGCCCAGAGUUACAUUAAGGCAGAAACCAAAUAUGUGCUGCUGGGUGGUUGUGUGGAAAGGAGGGUCCCUUUAGGUCAAGGGCAACAGCUGAGCAGAGAUGUGGCUGCCUGCACUGUCACCACUGUGCCUUUUGUAUGUACAUAAAACUUUGGUUUCCACGGGUUUGCAAGCACAAAAGUCCCCCGGACACCCAAAAAAAUAAUCAGAAAUAAAAAACUCAUUGAGCUGUUGAUAAUAAAGCCA
ensembl:lncRNA